AACGGAGCAUUGCAUUUUACACGGUUACACUUACGGUUUGCAUCUUAUGUACAGCAAAAUACUACUUGUUUCUCACUUCUUCUUUUGUCAAACAGACAUUUUAUCUUUUUCAAGUACACAUAGAAAUUACUUUCAUUUAUCUCAAUUUAUGUGGUACGUUUUGUUUUUAUCGAGAUUUAAUCUAUUACAACUUCUAGUAUUUUGUUAUGAAAUAUCAUGCAUAUUAUGGUGAAUGUUCAUAACUCCUAAGUAGUUAUUUCCAUUACUUUCUCCAUGGUGUAGUUAUUAAAUCUCCCACCUCCUAUCUUGAUUAUGUAAAUAUUAAUUCUCACACUUUCAUGAUCUUCCCCCAUAACCUUCAUAGUUAUUAUCUUGUUUAUUGCCACCUUUUGACUAUCCUCUAUGUAGUAGUAUAUAUAAGGAUAUAAUAAGUGAUGUACUUAUACUUGAACAUCUUUGGAUAAAUUGAACAUACUUGGACGAAUGAAAAAGCUCUCAUCUCUUGUUUCUCUUUAUCUCUUUGUUGUUCUUGCUUUCAUCUUUUAAUAUAUUGUACUAAUUCUUUUAGGUUGAUUUUACAACACGUUAUCAAUGCUCACUCUUUGUCAAGAACGAUGGUAGGUGCUUUUUAACUUUCAUAACUUGUUUAUACCCUUUUGGGCUGUGAUCAGUUUAGCAGUGAGCUUGAACCUUUGGUGUGGAUCUUAUUAAAUAAUAGUAUUAUUAUAAAGGGAGUAUGAGGUAUAUAUGUGAUCCCAAUUUAUUUUUACUUCAAUUUUGCUGGUAGGUUACAAUAGUUUAAACUUAAAUCAUAUAUUGAAUAAGCAUAAAUAUAAGCAUAAAGUAAUGGGAUUAUCUAGUAGUCGUCUUUGCAGUACUUUUCUAACAGUUUUUCCAACGAAAGAUAUGGUUUCAUUUAGUUCUAAAAGUUGCAAAAUGUUAUCAACAAUACUCAUUUAAUUGAUGUUGUAUAAUUAUUAUUGGAGUUACAUAUGUUGAUACGCAUUAACCGGUGGGAUGUUAGUUCUUGUGUAACCCUUCGUUUCCCCCAUUUGCAUCAUGGAUCAUUAAGUUGCUUAUGUUAUUUAUGCUAAUAAUAUUUGCUUGUUGUUAUUGUAGAUUGUUGGUUUAUUUCAAAAUGAUUUCAAAGAUUUGAAUCCUUAAUUAUAGAAGUUCAUUCUGUAAUUACAAGGGCAAAGAACUUGAAGGGCCACAUGGCUAUGUAAAGUGGUAAUAUUUUUAAGGCACCAAGUCGGUGAUCUUAUUGCUGUUCUGACCUAUUAUGCCAUUAAUUGAGGUUAAGACGUACGGUCACAUCAAGAUGAUAAGACAUCGAGUUUCAAUCCUGAUGCAUUAUGAUGAUAAAAUAAGAUGUUUGGUUCAAGUCCCAUCGAUUUAUGGCUAACACGUCUUUAUAUGGUUAGACGUUGGGUUUAAGUCCCGAUGUAAUAUAUUGAUGAUUUAAUGCUGACUAAGGCAAAAUGAACUUUUGAUGAAAAAUUAUGAAGCUCGUCCGACUUUGCUCCA